UAACAGGAUUAGAUACCCUGGUAGUCCACGCCGUAAACGAUGUCGACUUGGAGGUUGUGCCCUUGAGGCGUGGCUUCCGGAGCUAACGCGUUAAGUCGACCGCCUGGGGAGUACGGCCGCAAGGUUAAAACUCAAAUGAAUUGACGGGGGCCCGCACAAGCGGUGGAGCAUGUGGUUUAAUUCGAUGCAACGCGAAGAACCUUACCUGGUCUUGACAUCCACAGAACUUUCCAGAGAUGGAUUGGUGCCUUCGGGAACUGUGAGACAGGUGCUGCAUGGCUGUCGUCAGCUCGUGUUGUGAAAUGUUGGGUUAAGUCCCGCAACGAGCGCAACCCUUAUCCUUUGUUGCCAGCGGUCCGGCCGGGAACUCAAAGGAGACUGCCAGUGAUAAACUGGAGGAAGGUGGGGAUGACGUAA
rnacentral:rRNA from 1 species